rnacentral:rRNA from 1 species
UACGGAGGUUGCAAGCGUUGUUCGGAAUGACUGGGCGUAAAGGGAGCGCAGGCGGUGGGGUACGUCGAAAGUGAAAGCCCGGGGCUUAACCUCGGAAGGGCUUUCGAUACGGCCCUGCUCGAGUUCGUGAGAGGAAAGCGGAAUUCCAGGUGUAGCGGUGAAAUGCGUAGAUAUCUGGAGGAACACCGGUGGCGAAAGCGGCUUUCUGGCACGAUACUGACGCUGAGGCUCGAAAGCAUGGGGAGCGAACGGG